AAUUGACUCAGUUUUGCAGGCUAUACAAGAGGCAUGGCUGGGGAGGCCUCAGGAAACUUACAAUCAUGGGGAAGGCAAAGGGGAAGCAAGUACAUAUUCACAUGGCGGCAGGAGAGAGAGUGAAGGGGCAGUGCCACACACUUUUAAACAACCAGAUCUCAGAACUCACUAGCACGAGAACAACAAGGGGGAAAUUCACCCCCAUGAUCCAGUCACCUCCCACCAGGCCCCUCCUCCAACACUGAAGCUCAUAAUUCAUCAUGAGAUUUGGCUGGGGACACAGCACCAAACCAUAUCAUAUGCCUUUCCCAGGACUGGUGUUGGAGGAACAGUGCCUUUGUCACACCUACCAGAAUAUACUCACCCACCUCCAGACACUCCAUUUCUCUUUCAAGCACACCUCCUCACUUGUGCUGCCAGCUAAGGUUUACUGCAGUUACUUCCUUUGUGUGUCCUCUUACCUUACCAAGUCGCCUCACCCACCACCUACUGUUAAUUAAAUUACCACCUCCCCCACUUCCCCACCUCCAGAGUAGAGACUGUGUCUUCAGUUCUCUUGGCCUUCCCACAAUGGGAAGUCUGGUGUGGAACAUACCCUAGGAGCCAAUUAAAUGUGGUAGUGGCCUGCCAACCCUGCAGAGGGCUAGCAAAUCUUCAGGGAGUCUGCUGCCGGUGGAAACUCACCAGUACUAGAAUCCCAGGCUCCAAAGAAGUCUAGAAAAGUACGUCUUUUAAGGAGCUAAUAAGAGGCUCAAGUUUCCACAAAUACUAUCUGCUCUUGGCCUAGUUCUUU
rnacentral:lncRNA from 1 species